GUGAAUCAUCAAAUUUUUGAACGAAAAUUGCACUCUCUUCGGAGAGUAUGCCUGUUUGAGGGUCAGCAUAAAAAAAAUCGACAUCGUUGCUGUUUUGCGGUGGCGUUCGUCGGAAAUUGGGUUAUCUUAAAUCUUUGGUUUAAGCGACUUAAAAUUUUCUUUACGAUUGCAUGUAGGUUUCUAAGAUUUAUUUAUUUACACGGUUAGGGUAUUGAUUUUAUUAGGCGUGGUCGGGAGAUCGGAUGAUGUCCAUAAU
rnacentral:misc_RNA from 1 species